GCAGCCGCGGUAAUACGGAGGGGGCAAGCGUUGUUCGGAAUUAUUGGGCGUAAAGGGCAUGUAGGCGGUUUGGUAAGUUAAAGGUGAAAUACCAGGGCUUAACCCUGGGGCUGCUUUUAAUACUGCAGGACUAGAGUCCGGAAGAGGAUAGCGGAAUUCCUAGUGUAGAGGUGAAAUUCGUAGAUAUUAGGAGGAACACCAGUGGCGAAGGCGGCUGUCUGGUCCGGUACUGACGCUGAGGUGCGAAAGCGUGGGGAGCAAACAGGAUUAGAUACCCUG
rnacentral:rRNA from 1 species